UCACUGCCCACCUCACCUCGGGAUCUCAGAGACCACUGAACCUGGUCGCAGACACUCCGUCUGUCUCCAGUCAAUGGAGACGCGAAGCGGAACGAACGCUGGGCCUACGCACGCUUAGAGAUACGAGUCUGCGACCAAUCAGAAAGGAUCGUCCGAUUGCCUAACCAAUCAUUGUGCUGCUGCUCUGCCUGACAGCCUACGUCACGAACAGUCGCCUUAACAACCGCCCACACCUCUCACCCUGGCGGAGAACCGGUACCGCACCAUCUCUCACCACAGCUCAGCCAACCAAUAGCCAGCCGAGUACCGGCGCCAGGGCCCGCCUAUUGGCCCGCGAGCCGCGGGGGCGCACGCGUGGAAGCGGUUUAGGCUCGGUGAUAGGGGAGAACGAGUGGAGUGGCCCGCCGCUCGGGACCUGACCUGCGGUCUUCCCGCCUCUGAGGGGACUCUGAGGGGGCGGUGGUAGGAAGCGGGACUGGACCUCGAGAACGAACCCCGGCUUAGGCUGAGGACAGAAAGCUGUUAUCUUAGGGGCGACAGAUGAGGGAAGUAGAGAUGGUCCUGCAAAAUGAGGAACACGAGCAGGGUGGUGUCGGCCGGGUGCCUCGCGACAGAGGCCUCACUCACCCUGCAGUGCAGGCGCCCGGGUCGCCAUCCGUGUCUCCCCGGCGCUUGCCGCUGCGUCCUCUCUGCGGUCCCUCCGCUCUCCGACCGGUGCAGGCUAGUGUCAUCUCACCUUUCCUGCCUGUCCCCCCACGUGCCCUCAGGAGUCGCUCCGGUCUGCUGGGCUCGCUCCAUCCCACAACCCUAGGUUCUCAACUCUUAAUUCGGUGAAGAAAACUGAAGUCGACUAGCCAAAGAUUGCAAACUCAUCAGAAGCAAAGUAAAAGAAGGAAAGAAAAGGAAGUAGAGAAGGAAAAAGGAAAGAGUAUUUCCCCAUACCUCUCCUUAGGAGCUUCUGCAGCUUCACAGAAACAGUUGGAGAGCAGCUGACUCAGACAGGUUUCUAACUAUAAAAAUCUCCUGAUGGAAAAACCAGAAGGAAGUGAUGAUGGUGGGGAGAACAAGCUGGAUAAGGUCUCAGCAAGCAAAUAUGAGACAAGACACCCUCUUUAGCUCUCCUGAGCAACCCUAAUGGAGAAGUGAAACAGCAAUUGUUCAUGGCAGUACACAUGCAGGCAAGAUUUUAAUACAGCACCACUGUCACUUACAGGUCUUAGAGCUUACAUGGAAGAGAACCAAGCUCCUUAGAAACAAGGUGAGCACACAGGACUGGAAGAUCCAGGGAGAAAUGGCAGCAGAGCCCACAGCCUUUAUGAACUGCAAAAACAGCAUGGAGUUUUGCUCCAAGGGCUCUCCUUGCAAUGCAGGC
rnacentral:lncRNA from 1 species